rfam:Picoides pubescens contig38849, whole genome shotgun sequence.
CUCCACAGGUACUGGUCUGGAACUGUUCAGAACUGUAACAGUUGCAGUAUUCCCCCUGUGGAAAAAUAAACUGUUACACAGCAUUAAGCUCCUACUCAGAUCCUCUGACAAGGACUUCCUAUGUAACAAACAAUU